rnacentral:rRNA from 1 species
GCAGCCGCGGUAAUUCCAGCUCCAAUAGCGUAUAUUAAAGUUGUUGCAGUUAAAAAGCUCGUAGUUGAAUUUCGGGGUUAGUAGGUUGGUCAUGCCUCUGGUAUGUACUGGUCUCACUGAUUCCUCCUUCCUUAUGAACCGUAAUGCCAUUAAUUUGGUGUUGCGGGGAAUUUGGACUGUUACUUUGAAAAAAUUAGAGUGUUUAAAGCAAGCUAACGCUUGAAUACAUUAGCAUGGAAUAAUGAAAUAGGACGUUCGAUCUUAUUUUGUUGGUUUCUAGGAUUGACGUAAUGAUUAAUAGGGAUAGUUGGGGGCAUUAGUAUUCAAUUGUCAGAGGUGAAAUUCUUGGAUUUAUUGAAGACUAACUACUGCGAAAGCAUUUGCCAAGGAUGUUUUCAUUAAUCAAGAACGAAAGUUAGGGGAUCGAAGACGAUCAGAUACCGUCGUAGUCUUAACCAUAAACUAUGCCGACUAGGGAUCGGAUGAUGUUAAUUUUUUAAUGACUCAUUCGGCGCCUUACGGG